rnacentral:rRNA from 1 species
UACGUAGGGGGCAAGCGUUAUCCGGAUUUACUGGGUGUAAAGGGAGCGUAGACGGCACGGCAAGCCAGAUGUGAAAGCCCGGGGCUCAACCCCGGGACUGCAUUUGGAACUGCUGAGCUAGAGUGUCGGAGAGGCAAGUGGAAUUCCUAGUGUAGCGGUGAAAUGCGUAGAUAUUAGGAGGAACACCAGUGGCGAAGGCGGCUUGCUGGACGAUGACUGACGUUGAGGCUCGAAAGCGUGGGGAGCAAAUAGG